ACCGCGGUAGCCUAAUUGGUAGUGGCAUCGGCAGUACAGAUGGCGAAGGUCGCAGGUGCAAAUGCUGCUUGGGGUC